UGAGGAAUAUUGGUCAAUGGCCGCAGGGCUGAACCAGCCAAGUCGCGUGAGGGACGACUGCCCUAUGGGUUGUAAACCUCUUUUAUAAGGGAAGAAUAAGUGCCACGUGUGGCACGAUGCCAGUACCUUAUGAAUAAGCAUCGGCUAACUCCGUGCCAGCAGCCGCGGUAAUACGGAGGAUGCGAGCGUUAUCCGGAUUUAUUGGGUUUAAAGGGUGCGUAGGCGGCGCGUUAAGUUAGUGGUCAAAUGUCGGGGCUUUACCCCGGACCGCCAUUAAAACUGGCGUGCUCGAGUCCAGACGAGGCAGGCGGAAUAAGUUAAGUAGCGGUGAAAUGCUUAGAUAUAACUUAGAACCCCGAUAGCGCAGGCAGCUUGCCAGACUGGGACUGACGCUGAAGCACGAGAGCGUGGGUAUGCGAACAGGAUUAGAUACCC
rnacentral:rRNA from 1 species